CAGUCGCCGCGGUAAUACGGAGGAUCCAAGCGUUAUCCGGAAUCAUUGGGUUUAAAGGGUCCGUAGUCGGUCUUGUAAGUCAGUGGUGAAAGCCCAUCGCUCAACGGUGGAACGGCCAUUGAUACUGCAGGACUUGAAUUAUUGGGAAGUAACUAGAAUAUGUAGUGUAGCGGUGAAAUGCUUAGAGAUUACAUGGAAUACCAAUUGCGAAGGCAGGUUACUACCAAUUGAUUGACGCUGAUGGACGAAAGUGUGGGUAGCGAACAGGAUUAGAUACCCCUGUAGUCCCUGUCUCUUAUAC
rnacentral:rRNA from 1 species